UUCCAUGGUUCUUUCGUAUCCCCUUCUCUCCAAACUCUGCAUAUAAAUAGAGAGGAUAUUGAGGCGUAACAUUGUUUUUUGCUCAAGCGAAUGAGACUCCGGCAAGGGUGAUGAGGCUCUUUGAUAGCAACUCCUCUUGCGAUUUGAUCCUUUGAUCAAGUAUGAGCCGAUGAUUUCGACACCGAUUCACCACCAACUACUCUCUCUCUCUUUUUGAGGGCAUUCACGUAAUUUUGUUGUUGUUGCUGAUGUUGAUUUGUACUUGAGAUCGACGAGGCAAUGAUGAUGAAAUGUAGCCUGGUCAAAAUUGGAGUUUGGAGACCUGAUCUGUAUCUUCGCUGGGCAAUCCGGAAGGCAUUUUUUUGUCUUUUGAGUUUUCUCUCUCUAACAGAUCUGAGCCUCCGUUUUUGUGUUUUGUUUUUUGUUUUUUGUGUUUUUAAUUUUCAUAAGUAAGCAUGCCAACUGUUUGUAUUAUUGCCUCUAUGUUUCUUUUGGUUAAUCUGAAAAGUUAAUUGUUUAUUAAUAAUCUAAGAAGUCAUGUACACAUGUAGUGCUACAGAUUUUGCCUUCUAUCCUUUGUAAUAACUCUAGAAGCACCAUGAGAUUUGUGUAUAAAUGGAGAGGUGUAUCUUGCAUCAAGCAAAAUGUUUAUAUUGGGCAGUUUAGGUUACAUGUAAUGGGGGCACUUUUGUAUAUGUUAUAAAGGCCAGAUGCUCUCUCAUUCAAUGUCCAAUAUCUUCUUGAUUACAGGUUCGUCUGGAUUUUAAUGUCAAACGCAUACUUCUAUAGAAGAAGAAAUUGAUGUGGUGAGGUUGUUUUUUUUAGAAAAAACCGACGUUGCAGAUAUGGUGCUCUGAUUAAGAGAAAUGUUUGAUUGUGCUUUCAGUUUACUAUAAUUUUUCAUGUUAUUGUUUUUGAUUUUAGGUUCUUUUAUUGUUGGUUAUUGAUGUAGGUGAUAUGAAUAACAUAGCUAAAGUAUGAAAUUCAAUUGUGGACCAUUGGUUGACAAUUUAAAGUUCUUCAACAUGUUUGUUUAUGGCAUAUCUAUAAGGUUUACGAGUGUUUGAAGGAUUCACAGUGGAUUUUCAUCCAAGAUCAUGGGAAAUUGUGAGAAUUUAUAUUAUAUUUUAUAAAUCAUGAUUAAUUUGAAGUUAUGUUGUGAGAAUUUAUAUUAUAUUACAGGUGAGGAGACGUACUUCCAUUUUUUGGUUCUUUAAAUUAAAGUUUUGUUAGAAAAGUACUAUUUUACCCUUUGUCUACUUUAUUGCGGCUUUGAUACAGACGAGAGUGAUGUAUCACUCUAUAUGACAUCAAUUGCAUCCCUUUCACAUUAAGUAAAAAAAAAACUAUCCAUAAAGGUUUAUACAGAGACCGGGUUGGAUAUAAAUUUGUCUGGUUCACGGGCAACUGGGUUGUAUUCAACAUUAUUGAACAUUUAUUGGAGAUGUACAAUUAUUUUAUGUAUCUAUUAUUCUAUAUUUCAUCAUGACUCGAUUUUUAAUAAAAUUUAUAAAAUUUCAGGU